CUGACAGCCCGCAGGCCUCAAACCUGAUGGGUCCAACAUGGAGCCUUUGGUGGUGCCCAUGAGGAUCAGUCACAAAAAUACCCAGGCUGAGGGGAGACAAGCAAAAUCCAGACCAGCAGCAGGGGUCUGAGGCCACCGGCAUGAGGUCCCGGUCUGCAUGGGGCUCUCCAAGUUUCAGCACUCAAAGUCCUGCGGCCUGAGAAGCCCCUCAGUACUGGGUACAGCAGCAUGGUGGUCACCCUACAUCUGUGCAAGUGUAGAAGUGUGUGUAUGUGUGAGUGUUAGGGUAUAGGUACACACGUGUGUACGUGUGUUAGGCUGUAGGUACACAGGUGUAUACGUGGGUGUUAGGUUGUAGGUACACAGGUGUACACGUGGGUGUUAGGUUGUAGGUACACAGGUGUAUACGUGGGUGUUAGGUUGUAGGUACACACAUGUGUACGUGUGUGUUAGGUUGUAGGUACACACGUGUGUACAUGUGUGUUGUAGGUACACAUGUGUGUAUUAGGUUGUAGGUACACAGGUGUGUAUGUGUGUUAGGUUGUAGGUACACAGGUGUAUACGUGGGUGUUAGGUUGUAGGUACACAGGUGUAUACGUGGGUGUUAGGUUGUAGGUACACACGUGUGUACGUGGGUGUUAGGUUAUAGGUACACGUGUGUAUGUGUGUGUGUUAGGUUGUAGGUACACACGUGUGUACGUGGGUGUUAGGCUGUAGGUACACACGUGUGUACGUGGGUGUUAGGCUGUAGGUACACAGGUGUGUACGUGGGUGUUAGGCUGUAGGUACACACGUGUGUACGUGGGUGUUAGGUUGUAGGUACACACGUGUGUACGUGGGUGUUAGGUUGUAGGUACACAGGUAUGUAAUGAAAGUGUGACCCCUGGCAUUCCUGACAGUGACGGGCUCUGGGGAGGGAGGGAGAACAAAGCCAGCUCCGACUUGAGGGAGAAUGUUUGUUUCUGUAACAACAAAGAGAAAUCAGAGGCAAGUAGGAUAAAAGUCUAAGAUCUGUAUUUUGGGUGGAGGGUACAUGAUGUUGGCUGAGUUUGUGGGUUAUCUGAAAAUGGAAGGGAAGAAGAGAGCAGAGGACGCAGAGCUAAGAAAGUUGGGACCUUUUUUUUUUCAGCACUACACACACACACACACACACGAACUGCAGGGGGCUCUGGAGCCAUGGAGUUAGAAAAGCUCUCUGAGAGGUCAGGUGUAGUGGCUCAUGCCUGUAAUCCCAGC
rnacentral:lncRNA from 10 species